rnacentral:lncRNA from 13 species
AACCCUGUGAGACCCUGGCCCUCCACCAAUGCCCACAUCCUCUACUUCCCACAGCCUUCCCCGGGGUUGACCCCGCCUCACCACUCCCACACCUGGGCCAGGCAGCAUCCUGGAUGGUGGCCUCCUGCGGUCACCCCUCUACCCCCCCCCCACACACACACGUUACUAAUCCCAGCAGCUGCCUCCUCACAGACUCUGAAGCCCACAGGCGCCUCCAGCUCUAGCCAAGCUGAAGCCCCUCCCCACCAAUCCUCGUCCUGGGUACCCUGGAGGUGUAGUUUUGGGGUGAGAUCUCUCUUGGACCUGUGCACAGACAGGCUGCAAACCCCAGGCCUGGCUCACUGGGGGCCAGCACCCCUCCCCUCUCCUCCCGAGGGCCAAGGCCCUGCUGACAACCUCAUCCUGCAGCACUGCACAGUGCCCACCUCAGCUUGUCCUGCCUCCCUGGAGCUCCUGCAGGCACGGUCCCCUCCCACCCCUCCACUCUGCUGCAGGGCUGUGUGGGGGCAGUCUUCACGCAGAGGGGGCUACAGCGCUCACCCACCCGCAGGCCUCAAUGUCUCCUCACCCCUCAGCCCGACAGGCCCCCUCCCCUGUGGUGGCAGCUCCUGCACUCCAUCCUCCAUGUCCCUGCCUGGGCCCCCAGCUGCCGGUCCUGGACAGCCCAGGCCCUGGAAUAGUCAGCCUGGAGUGCAGCCUCAGCCAUGCUCCUCUGGAUGCCCUGGUCCAGAGGGAGGCACAGAGCUCGGCCACCCAGGACCCAAGCCCCAGGCCUGGAACUCUCCCUUCAGACCACUCUGCCCCAGCAGCUCUGUGGCAGGUCUCGCUGUCCUGCCUGUGCAGCUUGUAAGCCCCCCGCUGGGUGUGGGCACAAGCUGUCGCCACACAUCCUUCACACGCACACACAGCACGUGUUCCUCCCCACACGCACACAGGCAUGGCACACACACCGUGCACACUCCCACAUGCACACUGCUGCCCCAGCUCAACAUGGAGGUGGGCUCACACACUCACUCUCACACAGCCAUGAGCCCUCCGAUUCUGCCUCAGCCUCACCACAUGCCUCCCUUAGGGAGCCCCACCACCACCACUGAGACCCAGGAAGGCAUGGUGUCCCCAAGGCUCCAAGCGUCGGCCUGCAACAGCUCCUGA